AUGUCCCAAGUUUUAUCCCUAGACUACUUGCUAGAAGAUGUUCUUGUUAGGGUAGACGGUGUGAGAAGCAUGCUUCAUUGUGGUGUCGUCUCUAAGGCGUGGGCGAGCGCCGCUCUAAGGGAGGAGAUGCUUGUGAAGUUCAUGGCGGUCCGCUCGCCUCCUCUUCUCGGCAUCGUCGUCGAGUACGGCGUGUGGGGGCACGACAUGAGGUAUGUCGAGUUUACCCCCAUGCCGGGCAUGGACUCACCCGUCCAUGAGCAUGCCUUGGAGGUGGAGGCUGCAUUCGCCGGCGACUUCAGCCUCGACACCGUGCUCUUCUCCGGCUACGGCGAGGUUGUCGUAAGGGAGAAGAUGGCGCCGAGAGGGUACUGCAAGCGCUCGAUCGUCGAGCCUAUUACCACAACUCGCCACCUUCUGCCUUCCGACGACUUCUUCCAAGAAGCCCCCGCUUCUAUUUGUGCGUGCUUCGUCGUCAUCUACGGCGUGAAGGUAUUCUUCGACGGCUACCCCCAGGUACAUGAUGCACCGUACAUCCACCCGGGUGCUUAUUGUCUGCGCGUCUGCACACUCCUGGAGGGCAGAUGGUGGGUCAGUGUGUCUUUCCCUAUCAUGCAUGACCCCCCUUGCAUUCCUCAUGAAAACCCCCGGGGUCUGGUUAUAGAUGGGGUACUGUAUAUGAUGUAUGCCCUGGGUGUGCUUUUCUCGUGUGAGCUUUCAUCGGGGGCGUUCGGGAUAGUGAAUCUGCCUGAAUCAUUUAGCACGGCCGUGGACAUGGAUUACACGAUCGCAAGGUCUGGGAAGUCAGAGCUUUGCAUUGUUCGUCUCGUUGGCUGCAGCAUGCAGCAAUGGUCCUGUGACAUGGCUGGCCAAGACAAGAACUGGAUCUUGCGCAGUACAUACAACCUGCGGCAGUUGUUCGAUUGCCAUAUUCCGGCAUCAUUUUGGGAAAGCAGGGGCCGUGGGGGUGAAUCUUCUGCUGGGGAUCCUGUUUCUUACAGCAUGAAGAUUAGAGCUGCUGGAGAGAACUUUGCAUACGCAAUAAUCACGUUUGACUUUUGCCCAUGGAUAUACAUGAUUGAUACAGACAAAAAGAAGGUUGUUAAACUCAUCAACUCGUUCAACCCGGUGUCCGUGUUGUCCGUGACCACGGUCUGCAUGCCAUGGCCCAAAACAUUCCCCCGUGAGUAG
rnacentral:rRNA from 1 species